UGGGGAAUUUUGGACAAUGGGCGAAAGCCUGAUCCAGCAAUGCCGCGUGUGUGAAGAAGGCCUUCGGGUUGUAAAGCACUUUUGUCCGGAAAGAAAUCCUUGGCUCUAAUACAGUCGGGGGAUGACGGUACCGGAAGAAUAAGCACCGGCUAACUACGUGCCAGCAGCCGCGGUAAUACGUAGGGUGCAAGCGUUAAUCGGAAUUACUGGGCGUAAAGCGUGCGCAGGCGGUUUGCUAAGACCGAUGUGAAAUCCCCGGGCUCAACCUGGGAACUGCAUUGGUGACUGGCAGGCUAGAGUAUGGCAGAGGGGGGUAGAAUUCCACGUGUAGCAGUGAAAUGCGUAGAGAUGUGGAGGAAUACCGAUGGCGAAGGCAGCCCCCUGGGCCAAUACUGACGCUCAUGCACGAAAGCGUGGGGAGCAAAACAGGAUUAGAUACCCCUGGUAGUCCACGCCCUAAACGAUGUCAACUAGUUGUUGGGGAUUCAUUUCCUUAGUAACGUAGCUAACGCGUGAAGUUGACCGCCU
rnacentral:rRNA from 1 species